rnacentral:misc_RNA from 1 species
AAGUCGUAACAAGGUCUCCGUAGGUGAACCUGCGGAGGGAUCAUUACCGAGUGAGGGCCUCUGGCCCGACCUCCAACCCUUUGUUGACCAACACCUGUUGCCUCGGGGGCGACCCGGCUUCCGCGCCGGGGCCCCCGAUGGACCAUUUCAACUCUGUGUCUGUACGUCGGAGUACUUGAUGAAUCAAUCAAAACUUUCAACAACGGAUCUCUUGGUUCUG